rnacentral:SRP_RNA from 11 species
CUUGUAGCGGGCGCCUGUAAUCUGAGCGGAGGCAAGGGUGUUCGAAGGGUGUGUAUUCGUGCGCGGACCCCAGUCGCAUACCGAUCACGGCUCCGCUUCAAGCCAGUGGUCCGCAGCGGCUCUUCCCUGAAGGGGGGAGUCGUGGUGGAUAAUGAGGUGGGAAACGCAUCAGGCGGGAAACCGAGCAGUGCAAACCGCCCGCCGCUGGCAGUGAAGGGACCGGCU